AAUUUAAACAAGAAACAUUUGGCAUUUCUUCUUGUCUUUCUUUUCCUUCUUCUCUUCCUCUCUCUUCUCUCCCUCCUUCUGCUUCUCCUCCUUCUCGUAAACGGUCAAGAAAAAAAGA
rnacentral:ribozyme from 13 species